CCUUAUUGUAGCAACACACUUUUGGAGGGAAGGCAAUCCUGCGCUGCGUUAGCUAAGUUUUCAUGUCAUCGGGUGUAGUUCAUAAAGGUUGAAGAGUGUAUGUUAGGAUGAAGUGUGAAUUCAUGCCAGGAAUAAUAAGUGUGAAGUUUGAUUUCCUCCCUUCUGUAAUAAGCAGCCAAUGAGUUCUCACGGAAGGUGAUAAUUCUGACUAAAACUACAGAAUAAAGCCGCCAGUUAAAAU